UAGACUCCGUCCCGGCACUGAGAGCCCAGCAGGUGUCUGUGACCAGGCGUUCCCCUGUCAGGCUCCCAGCACCCGCCUGGCCUUUCACCGGGAGGUGAUGUAAGCGGACCCCUGGCUGCAGCCCUCCUCCCUGGAUCAGCCUCCUGGAAACUUUCUAGGGCCUGCUGGAUGGCCCGCGGCCCUGUAGGUGCCAGGCCUGUGAUUUCUGCUGGAUUUUGGCCUCAGUGGGGAUCUGUCCACGGGAACAGUUCAGGGUCAUUUUGUUAAUCUUCAGAGGCCUUGCCCCAGAUUCUCCUCUGCUGUCCUGUGACGCUGGUGACAUUCCGGGAACACUUGGUCCACGUGAGGGGAGGAACCACUGCGGGGAACUUUGAUCAGCGCUGGCGCUGCUGGGCUCACACUGACCAUAGACCACGCCAGACACACUUCUGCUCCCUAGGAAGAGCCAGGGCGGCCUGUGCGUGUCCUCUCAGCCCCUCACGGUCUUCUUUGGCUCCGUGAUGAGCUAUCUGCCUGCUCAGCAGCCCCGUGUUGGAUCAUUCCGCCUCGAAUGCCUGUAAAGCAAACCCAUCCCCGGGAUUCCUCUCCAGCAGAUUGCCAAGCCCAGGAGGAGAUUUUGAAGAAACAAACUGGAUGCAGACUGGCUUGCUUUCUUGCAGCAUAAGGAUUGCUAAGGCAUCCCAAAGCACCUCCUUCCAACAGAUGGGGGUGGCUCCUUGCCCUGAUGUCGUGCAUGUCCCACCGUCCGGUGAUUUCCUGCCAUUUGCCAGCAGUGGCAGACGGUUCAACAUUUCCCGAAGCCUGCAAACGGGUCGAUUCGGCGGCUCAGGGAGCCCCCUUGUGGCACGCUGGACGAACGGCUCCCCUCACGGGGCGCGGCGCUUUCCUCUCUGGAAGUCACAACCCGCCCCCCGCCUCCCCGCCGAAGGGACAGCCGAACACAUCGACUCGGUGGCGCCGGGGCCGCUCCCGGGCAGGCGGAGAGAGCUGCCGAGGCUUCUGGCUCCUGCAGCUCUGGGCAAAUGCCAGGCCGCUGGGUGCCCGCGCCCGUGGGGCGGCGGGCGGGGGCCUGAGGUUCCAGGGCGGCACCGCCACCUCCUGGCGCGCUCUAGUCCGUCCCCUUGAUGCUGCGCGUCUUGCACCGUGGGACAGCCCUGCACGACAGCGAGUUGUCAGGCGUCGCCCAUGACUUGCAAACGGGCCUCCAGGCACUGCUGUGUGAAAUGCUGUAGUGAGCUCAGCCUGCCACUGUGACACAGGAGAACCCAAGGUUGUCCUUCUAGCUUGGACACUUUCAGUUUUCCAGGACCGCAACUUAGCAUGUACCUGCUGGGAAGACUGUGCUUUGCCUUCUUUGCAAUUUUAUCAUGGUUGUUCAGCAUUUUGGAAAAUAUCCCUGCACCCCGCCUCCCUUAACCCUUAUUUCAAAAACUCAAAUAUAAACAGAAAGCAGCUUCUCUUUAAAUUCCUCCUUUCCUCGUUAUCUAGUAGGUGAAAGCCUCUGAUGAUUUCAUCAGAUCUCUGGUGAGGUUGAACCUGAGCAUUUUCACGUGGGGAUAAAUAUUAUUUUAUCAUAAACUACCUUUUAUUUCUAAUUUAUUACAGUUAGAACAUUUAAUUUUUAAAUUCUCUGUGAGAUCUGAUUAUACUAUCUGUGAAAUUUAUUUCAGGAGACUGAAGGGGGUGUUAAGAAUCAGUUGCUAUGGGGAAUCAUUUGCUAUGGGGCGCCUGGGUGGCUCAGAUGGUUGGGUGUCUGCCUUCGGCUCGGGUCAUGAUCUCAGGGUCCUGGAAUCAAGUCCCACUUGAUCGGGCUCCUUGCUUAGCAGGAAGCCUGUUUCUCCCUCUGCCUGCCGCUCGCCCUGCUUGUUACUCUCCCUCUCUCUCUGGCAAAUAAAUAAAUAAAAUCUUUAAAAAUAAAUCAUUUGCUGUAACAGGGGUGUUGGAUCUGUCAGCGAUGAAAUCCACUGUUCC
ensembl:lncRNA